UACGGGGGGGGCAAGCGUUGUUCGGAAUUACUGGGCGUAAAGGGCUCGUAGGCGGCUCGUUAAGUCAGACGUGAAAGCCCUCGGCUUAACCGGGGAACGGCGUCUGAGACUGGCAGCUUGAAUCCGGGAGAGGGAUGCGGAAUUCCAGGUGUAGCGGUGAAAUGCGUAGAUAUCUGGAGGAACACCGGUGGCGAAGGCGGCAUCCUGGACCGGUAUUGACGCUGAGGAGCGAAAGCCAGGGGAGCAAACGGG
rnacentral:rRNA from 1 species